ACGCUGGCGGCGUGUUUAACACAUGCAAGUCGAACGAUGGUCCCCAGCUUGCUGGGGGGAUUAGUGGCGAACGGGUGAGUAACACGUGAGUAACCUGCCCUUGACUCUGGGAUAAGCCUGGGAAACUGGGUCUAAUACCGGAUACGACCACUCCGCGCAUGCGGUGGUGGUGGAAAGCCUUGUGCGGUUUUGGAUGGACUCGCGGCCUAUCAGCUUGUUGGUGGGGUAAUGGCCUACCAAGGCGACGACGGGUAGCCGGCCUGAGAGGGUGACCGGCCACACUGGGACUGAGACACGGCCCAGACUCCUACGGGAGGCAGCAGUGGGGAAUAUUGCACAAUGGGCGCAAGCCUGAUGCAGCGACGCCGCGUGAGGGAUGACGGCCUUCGGGUUGUAAACCUCUUUCAGUAGGGAAGAAGCCGCAAGGUGACGGUACCUGCAGAAGAAGCGCCGGCUAACUACGUGCCAGCAGCCGCGGUAAUACGUAGGGCGCAAGCGUUAUCCGGAAUUAUUGGGCGUAAAGAGCUCGUAGGCGGUUUGUCGCGUCUGCUGUGAAAGACCGGGGCUCAACCCCGGUUC
rnacentral:rRNA from 1 species